GAUGAACGCUGGCGGCGUGCCUAAUACAUGCAAGUCGAGCGAACAGACGAGGAGCUUGCUCCUCUGACGUUAGCGGCGGACGGGUGAGUAACACGUGGAUAACCUACCUAUAAGACUGGGAUAACUUCGGGAAACCGGAGCUAAUACCGGAUAAUAUAUUGAACCGCAUGGUUCAAUAGUGAAAGACGGUUUUGCUGUCACUUAUAGAUGGAUCCGCGCCGCAUUAGCUAGUUGGUAAGGUAACGGCUUACCAAGGCAACGAUGCGUAGCCGACCUGAGAGGGUGAUCGGCCACCCUGGAACUGAGACACGGUCCAGACUCCUACGGGAGGCCGCGGUAGGGACUCUUCCGCAAUGGGCGAGAGCCUGACGGAGCAACACCGCGUGAGUGAUGAAGGUCUUCGGAUCGUAAAACUCUGUUAUUAGGGGAGAACAAAUGUGUAAGUAACUAUGCACGUCUUGACGGUACCUACUCAGAAAGCCACGGCUAACUACGUG
rnacentral:rRNA from 1 species